rnacentral:piRNA from 1 species
UACAUCUCAAUGUACCUUGGCUGGUGUAUU